rnacentral:rRNA from 1 species
ACUCCUACGGGAGGCAGCAGUGGGGAAUCUUGCGCAAUGGGGGAAACCUUGACGCAGCAACGCCGCGUGGGUGAUGAAGGCCUUCGGGUCGUAAAGCCCUGUCAGGUGGGAAGAAACAUAUCGGUGCUAAUAUCACCGAUGUUUGACGGUACCGCCGGAGGAAGCACCGGCUAACUCCGUGCCAGCAGCCGCGGUAAU